rnacentral:rRNA from 1 species
GACGAACGCUGGCGGCGUGCUUAACACAUGCAAGUCGAGCGGUAAGGCCCUUUCGGGGUACACGAGCGGCGAACGGGUGAGUAACACGUGGGUGACCUGCCCUCAGCUCUGGGAUAAGCCUGGGAAACCGGGUCUAAUACUGGAUAUGACUCCAUGACGCAUGUUGUGGGGUGAAAGCCUUGUGCGGCUGAGGAUGGGCCCGCGGCCUAUCAGCUUGUUGGNGGGGUNAGGCCUACCAAGGCGACGACGGGUAGCCGGCCUGAGAGGCGACCGGCCACACUGGGACUGAGACACGGCCCAGACUCCUACGGGAGGCAGCAGUGGGGAAUCUUGCGCAAUGGGC